GGGGUUGUGGCUCAGUGGUAGAGCACUUGCUUAGCAAGUGCAACAUCCUGAGUUUGAUCCUCAGCACCA
rnacentral:tRNA from 1 species